rnacentral:sRNA from 1 species
UUUUGUUCUUCAGCUUCAUACAUAUUUUGACUAGAAUAUCUGAAACUAGAUUAAAUAAAGGAGUUGGCCAUUAAUUUUGAAUCACAUUUAUUUUAAUGAAAACUAACUUUUAUUUUUAGGGGUAUCUAACUAUCAAGUUGAAGAAGAUAUAGGAAAGUUGAAGUCUUGUCUCACUGGCUUCCUUCAGGAAUAUGGUUUAUCUGUAAUGGUGAAAGAUGAUUAUGUCCAUGAAUUUUGCCGAUAUGGAGCUGCUGAGCCACAUACCAUUGCUGCAUUCUUGGGGGGAGCUGCUGCUCAAGAGGUCAUCAAAAUAAUCACCAAACAAUUUGUAAUUUUUAAUAAUACUUACAUUUACAGUGGCAUGUCACAAACUUCAGCAACUUUCCAGUUGUAGAGUAAGCACCUUAGGUAGUGUGUUAAUGAUUGAAACUGUAAUUGCCUUUGGGUUGUGCUUUAGUCUGUAAAAUUCUAAAGGAGAGCUGCUAAAUUGUUUACUUAAUAAACAUUUUUCUCAUUUGU